rnacentral:sRNA from 1 species
GCUGAAGGAGAAGAGGUUGUACAGGCAUAGGGGAGGGGACGGGGCUGGGCAUCCCUGAGGCAUUGACGGGGGAAGCCCCCGGCGAAAGACUGAAGAUGGUUUGGGGAGGAGACUUCAGCAGCCGCCAGGGAACGGGGCAAGCUGGGUCCUCGGGAUCCCUGGGGAUCUUCAGAGACGCGAGGCCCAGGAUCUCUGCAUCUCACGAGUCAGGACGUUUGGAGGGGCUGGCGUGGGGAUCCGGCAGCAAAGGUGCCUGAUUUUCCCUUUCAGUCCUCCCAGCCUUAUGUUCCUCCCACUCUGAGCCGCCAGAGCCUGAUGAGGGAGAGCACAGCGAGGCCUUUACCAAGCCCCCUAAGGCACCCAAAUAAAACCUACAGAUCGCUGUGCCUUCAGAGCUGAGGCCAGAGUGGGUAGAACCGCAGCUUUUAUAAAGGCAGAAAAGGAGAUGGACGUGAGAGGGGAGGGUGUGAGGAAAGCCGGCUGGGGGCCCCCCUCUGGCAGCCUUCGGGUCCUUUCUGAAGCAGAGGGUCUGAGAAACACUCCAGUACCUCCCCAGAAGUGGAAGAAUACCUGCCUGGUCGGGGAAAGGGGUUGUCCUGCAGAGAAACGCCUGGAAAAGGGGGGAAGGAUGAUUUGGGGUUCCGAGUGGCCCGAAGCGGAACACUGGGGGAAAGAAAGCCUGUCCCGGAGCGGGUUUCCACGGGCUGGGCUGUCCCUCUGCUGCCCAGCGCGCUGCUGCUGACCUCCCUACUCACUCUGCAGCUGUGGGGAGCUCUUUCCUGUGUCGGAACCGGUCCUGCCCUGUGAAUUACUGCUACAAUCAAGGCCACUGCUACAUCUCCCAGACUCUGGGCUGUAAGCCCACGUGCACCUGUCCCCCGGCCUUCACCGACAGCCGCUGCUUCCUGGCUGGGAACAACUUCAGUCCAACUGUCCACCUAGAACUUCCCUUAAGAGUCAUCCAGCUCCUGCUCAGUGGAGAGGAAAAUGCCUCCAUGGCAGAGGUCAACGCCUCGGUGGCAUACAGACUGGGGACCCUGGACAUGCGGGCCUUUCUCCGCAACAGCGAAGUGAAACGAAUUGAUUCCCCAGCACCGGCCUCGGGAAGCCCCAUUCAACAGUGGAUGGUCAUCUCGGAGUUCCAGUACCGUCCUCGGGGCCCCGUCAUCGACUUCCUGAACAACCAGCUGCUGGCCGCGGUGGUGGAGGCGUUCUUAUACCACGUUCCAUGGAGGAGUGAGGAGCCCAGGAACGACGUGGUCUUCCAGCCCAUCUCCAGGGAAGACGUGCGCGAUGUGACAGCCC